rnacentral:rRNA from 1 species
UUUUUAUGGAGAGUUUGAUCCUGGCUCAGAGUGAACGCUGGCGGCGUGCCUAAUACAUGCAAGUCGAACGAUGAAGCUUCUAGCUUGCUAGAAGUGGAUUAGUGGCGCACGGGUGAGUAAGGUAUAGUUAAUCUGCCCUACACAAGAGGACAACAGUUGGAAAC